AUGGCUGACGCUGGUCAAAGUGUAGUAUCUGUUCUUAUCAGCUUAAUAUCUGAUACGGGUUGUAUUUGGACCAAAGAUAAUAAACUUAUUUUUGCAAGUUGGAGGAGUGCUUGAAGCCUGCUUCACCUCCACCGCGGGUCGGCCCGAUUUUGCACUAUGUCUUCGGGAUCGGCCCACGUUUU
rnacentral:snRNA from 1 species